rnacentral:lncRNA from 1 species
GAGGGAGAGUCCCACAGAGGAAGAGGAGACGAGGAAGAGCCCACACUCAGGUGAGAGAGGGGACAGUCCCACAGAGGAAGAGGAGACGAGGAAGAGCCCACACUCAGGAGAGAGGGGAGAGUCCCACAGAGGAAGAGGAGACGAGGAAGAGCCCACACUCAGUCAGAGGAAAUACGUGUCUGAAUCUGUUUGGAGUCAAAGUGCGUCUGAAGGAGUGUGGUGAGGAAUGCAGUCGAGCAGAGCCGCUGAGCCGCUGUUUCCUGUUGGUCCAGUCACAGGACGAGACUCGGAGGAAAUGGCAGAAGGAAAAGCAAAGCCUCCAGAGGGCAGCACUGAGCCACAGCUCUAUGGGACGAAAUCCACAGCUUCAGUUCACAGUCGUCUGUCCAUGAAGAGUGACAUGUCUAAAGGCGACGACCUAAACUUCAGUCCUGAACCUGCUCCAGACUCACGGUAAGAAACAAACUUAAUGUGGAGUCAGUGGUGUGGUCUAACCUUUCUCCUGUUAGGGGCUGGUAUCAGACCUGAAACAUGGGGGAAGGUGUGUAAUUAGACCAUGGUCCAGGUUUCUGAAGCGUGGAGCACAGCCCUGUGACUGAAGCGCUUUAGUAUACAGUAUAUAUGUAUCAGUAUAUUCUCUCUUCUCUCAGGACUGUUCCAUUCACAGUGGGCUCAUUACAGCAGUUUAGUUCCUGUGUAAAAGGAUUUAAAUGCAAGUAAAGUUGUGAUGCGCUGAGGCAGAAUGUGAAGGAGAGGGAGC